rnacentral:rRNA from 1 species
UACAGAGGAUGCAAGCGUUAUCCGGAAUUAUUGGGCGUAAAGCGCGCGCAGGCGGUCCUUUAAGUCUGAUGUGAAAGCCCACGGCUCAACCGUGGAGGGUCAUUGGAAACUGGGGGACUUGAGUACAGAAGAGGAAAGCGGAAUUCCACGUGUAGCGGUGAAAUGCGUAGAUAUGUGGAGGAACACCAGUGGCGAAGGCGGCUUUCUGGUCUGUAACUGACGCUGAGGCGCGAAAGCGUGGGGAGCAAACAGG